ensembl:lncRNA
UGAUACUGAACAGUAUUAGAAAAAAAAAAAAAAAACCCUGCUCCUCCCUCCCACCAACCCAACCGCCCACACACCGGUUCUACGUCUGGCUUUGUCAGAUGUGCAGAAAGGCAGGCUGCUAAGACAGGAUGACACUGACGAUUAGAAGACCACUGCUCACACGAUAAGAUGGAAAUGUCGCUGAAGCAGUUGAUUCUGAUGCUACUCACAGUGACAGCAACCGCCAUGAUGAUACCAGGUCAAACUGCUAUAUGUCUGGAUAACCAACAGAAAACAGAGGAAGUUCCAUCUGGGUCCAACCUGAUUUUAAAUUGCUGUUUGAACACUGAGCAUAACGAGAGAUAUCGAAUCACCUGGUAUUUUAACCAUCAUGGGCCUUCAGUAACCAACUCAACCAGGCUAACUACCAAGAUCAAUAACAAAUAUCAAAAUUCUUCCAUGGAUGAAGACAACAGGACACAUACUUUAUCUAAUGUUAAUAGAAACCACAGUGGAUGGUACUUCUGCAAAGUCACAGUAGAGAUUCCCAGUUUAAGAGAAAAUUGCAGCAAUGGAACAGAAGUAAUUGUUUACCCUCCUGCCCUGAGUGACAACUGGUGGAUAUGGGUGGUGUUGGGAGCGUCCUCUUUCAUCCUGUUCAUCCUGACGGUCACAUGUGUCCUGCACUCCAGAAGACAAGAAAGUAGAGUUAAGAAAAAGAUUUUAAUUUCUAGCAGACAUCAGAGACAAGGACCGCAGUUUAUUUUGCGAAGCAGAGCUAGAGAAGAGCCCAUCUAUGCAAACACCCCCAACAAACAGCCUUCACCUCGGCCGUCCAUGAGCGCAGCAGCGGUCAGCCUGAAGGCAGCUUCUUCCUUUCAAGACCUGCGGGCCCCGAGUCCUGCCAGCAGAUACGACGAAGGCAAACGGAGAUAUAAACACUGAACAAGUCACGGACCUCACAAACUAAUGCUACCAAAAGUCCUCACAGCUAAUUUCACUGGGACACUGAAAGAAACUCUUUUUCCUUUCAUUAUUGUCGGAUCUACAUUUUGUUCAUCUGGACUUCUGGUUUAGGGUUUUUUCAUUCAAACUGCACGUUUUUUAAAAUGUAUUCCUGCGCAGGUGAAGUAGCUUUUAUGAGCCACUAGAUGGCAGAUGAUGAAUGCGGUGUGAAUGUGUAAUUUCAUGUUUUUUUCCCUUAAUUUUUGUAUUUUAUUACUUGAUAUUGAAUAUGAUGAAUACUGAAUAUUUGAAAAUGUUUUCAAUAGCUUUUGAAUGGAGUAUGGAGAAGAUUUAUACACACAUAUGUAUAUUUUUGUAUGAUUUUUUUUAGAGGAGACUAAAACGUUAAUUUCUUAUAUAUCGACUGCGUCCUUAUUUUUAUUUUCAAAAUAAACGUGGCUUUCUGUCGUGCUUAGGC